GAGGUCGCUAGAGGAAAUUCAUUCACAUUCACGUCAUUUAUGUGAUUGGGGUUGAGGCUGUGAGUUCAGAAACCUGUAUUGUCGAUCAGCAGUUACAUUCGUUCAAUUUCUCUCAAUGUCAGAAGCUCAGUGAAAUAUAUACCAUCAAGCUAGCGGCUAACUUAGGAAGCAGCAAGUUAAAAUUUGCACCCUUGGUGAGCGGAGCGAGUUUCACGGUGCUUAUGCUGGUUCCAGAAGAAUAAAAACAAAGAUUGCACCCGUUAGAGACUCUCUGCCUCAUGUUAUAGAAGCCAAGGACUGCGACAAGUCCAGUAGAGGAGGCUGUACAGCACGAGUCAUCAGAACUCACGGGUCCAGAUGCAAUUUCUAUAGUAAUAGUUCUUAUUUGAUGAAAACAUUCUUCCUGGUUUUAACAUUAGACCAAUGCUUUUACUUUAAAAUAGGUUAACCUUUACGAUUUUGAUUUUUUUUAAGUCCUUGUUGAAAAAAAAAAAAUUUAUUUUAUUUUAAUAAGUCACUCACACUUACUUCAGUAGCCUUAAUCCUUGAAUAUGUAUUUUAUGUUGUCAAUAUUAACUUCUGGCUUUGCUAUAUCAAUUGAAACAUGCGUUUAGGAAUACAAGAAUCUAAUUGGAUUGAAAUGUUUUGGAAAGUUUCUUGCCAUAAGACUCGUUAUCAAUUCAAAUAGACGUAGAAUGUCUAAACUUUUACAACAUUACACAUUGCUAGAUCAGGUUAAAACUGUUUAAAAGUUAUUUUCAAAACACAAUAAACAUUCUUAUGACUGUUUAA